rnacentral:misc_RNA from 1 species
AAUCAUCAAGCAAGGUUAUUGAGAUGAAUUCAUCUUCCAUCAUGAGCAAGAGAACUAGAUUCUUGUGUUCUAGGUCUUUUCACUCUCUAGAAAAUGAAGGCCAUCACCUAUGCGUUCCAAAUUUUCCACGCAGGCAGUGGACCAGAAACAUUUGGAAAUGAAAGAUCCAAAGAACUUAUGGAAAAGAAUCUGGGGAUACCCUUUCACUGACCGUAGAACCAAAUUGUGGCCCACCCUUGCG